rnacentral:rRNA from 1 species
GGGAUUAGAUACCCCACUAUGCUUAGCCUUAAACGUAGAUGUUGAAUAUACAAACACAUCCGCCAGGGUACUACAAGCGCUAGCUUAAAACCCAAAGGACUUGACGGUGUCUCAGACCCACCUAGAGGAGCCUGUUCUAGAACCGAUAACCCCCGUUAAACCUCACCACCCCUUGUUUUCCCCGCCUAUAUACCGCCGUCGCAAGCUUACCCUGUGAAGGAUCAACAGUAAGCAAAAUGGGUAAAUCCCAAAACGUCAGGUCGAGGUGUAGCUUACGAGGUGGGAAGAAAUGGGCUACAUUUUCUGUAUCAGAAUAAUACGGACAGCACCAUGAAACUAGUGCUAGAAGGUGGAUUUAGUAGUAAAAAACAAAUAGAGAGUCUUUUUGAACCAGGCUCUGGGACGCGCACACACCGCCCC